UGUGCGAGAAGAAAAGGAGCAGAGGAGAUGAGACGCCUCCAUGCUCUGGCUCUUCUUUCAUUGGGCUGAUAAAGGAAAGCAUCAAGGCCAAGGGUGGAUGUGGAUUUUUUUUCUGUUAACUGAAUGAGGCUUUUGAGGGUGAUAGUGAGGAGCCGCUCCCCUGAGAGAUGUUUGGAGGAACAGGGAGUGCUUUGCAGGUUUCCCAAGGAUUUAUGGGGGUCCAACAGUCGGGACGGGAAAGUGUGAUGCAUGGAGAAAGUCACAAAACACCACAGAGGCAUGUCAGCUGUGUGCCAUUUACAGCUAGAAAAGAAGGAGCAGCCUGCAGCUGUAAUGAAUAGAGCCUGGGUAUAGCUGAGAGGAUGGGAGGCGGCGGAUCAUAAAUAAUCAUUUAUCCCACCGUCUCCCCCACUGACAGCGUGCUGGGUGCAGGCAGCAACACAAGCCGAGGCGCAGCUGCACCACCCAGGACAAACAUGUGACACAAGUGCUGUGGGGCAGAUUUUCUUCACAGCGGGACUUGCAGCAGCGACACUCCAAUGACUAGAGAAAACAUGAAUACACCAUUAACCAGUGAAAGUAAGAAAAAACAUAUUUGCAAAAAAAAUAAAACAGACUGAGGCACAAAAAGUGUGACAUGAUGAACAUAUAAAUGGAAACCAGGCCGUAUUGUUAUGAGGGUUAUUUAUUUUAAAAUCAAUAGCCAGCUCACCCAUUAACUUUUAAUGUGAACUUCCAAUUGGAGGCUGAAAUUAAACAGUGCUGGAGGAAAUCUGUAGCACAUAAUAAUAAAGCCCAGGAGGGAAUUCACUCAUAAACAAAGGUUUGCCGUCCCUGCAGGGAAGGAGCGCUUGUGAAUGGGCAAAAAUUCACUCUGAAUGCAAAGUUCAUCAUCUAAAUAUCUGUGAUGCAUUUAAAAUUAUGUUUAAAGCAUGGGGCAGAGGGAGGAGCUCAAAAAGGAAGGAAAACUGAGUUUAUUAUAGAUUUUGUGCUAACUUUUUAGUGCAGGUGUAGAGAAAAGGUGUUCACUGAAAAGAAGAUAGGAGGCAGAGCGGAGGAUGUUAAAGUUCUCUUUUGGAGUGACAAGGAUGGAGAGGCUUGGAAGAAGACCAAAGAGGAGAUUCAUGAAUGCAGGUUAUGAUAGUUCAUGCGAGAAAGGAGUAUGUAGAAGGGUCAUGCUUUAGUCACAACUGGGUAGAUAUGAGCUCGCUGCGAGUGAAAAACAGGCUAACCUGUAUAAAGAAAGCAGAUGGCCCACAGGAAAUAUCAAGUUCCUAGAUCACUUGAUGAGCCAGUAGGGGGAAAACUUUGCACAUUGCGUAAGGGGCCUGAUAGGUAGUAAUAAGUGCAUGCUCCAUGAUUGCAGGUAUUAGAUGUUAGGAAAUUAGACACACUCAGAGUAGUUUUGGUGGACACUCUGCAGGCCUCCAGCAAACGCCACUCUGACUAGACUAGAGUUUGGCGUAAGGGCACCAUACGAAAGCCACACCUGUACCUGUAAGUCAUAAUAUUAUGCACAACUUACAUUAGCCUUACAAAUACUUCAUGAUACCACACUCCCUACAAUUGUACGCUCCAUGUUCAUGGCAUCCCUUAAGGUGGCCUCACGAGACACAAGGAAACUGCAAGACACACUUGCUCUACCUUUUAAGAUAUGGUCGCACCUUCAUUCCGAAGCGAAUGAUUUGCUGUGGCAGCCAAAAGCCUAACAAGGAGAUGAACAUGUGUAUAUAAAUGGAGGAUAAAUGUAUUUGUAGAUUGAGUAUAUCAUUUUGAAAUUAUAUGGAGUUUAUGUUCACACAAAUGGUGUUUUCUGCACAUCCCAUUUUAGAUUUAGAUUGAAUGUCCUGUUGAUGUUUCUUGUGUCCGUAUGACUUAACAUUGCUUUGUAUAGGACUGAGUAUCAAUGCUAAACUACUUUGAAUUUUAAUUUGUAAAUGUUUCAUGGUUUUAUGGUAUUAAACUUUAAUUU